rnacentral:lncRNA from 1 species
GUCUUGUAGUUGGCAUUAACGUUAUUUGCAUUUUUCCUUUGUGUUUACUUUUUCACUUAUUUCCGUCGGUUAAGUUCCUAAGAGUGAAGUUUCUCAAUUAAAAGGCUAUGCCAGAUUAAUCUGAGAGCUGUGAUGCCAGUGUAUAUUUCCACCAACCGGUAAAAUAAUCCAGUAACGUGGUGGAGACAGAUGCAAUGAGAGUGGCCACGAGUUGACAGAUAAUGUUGGAAAAGUGGGGAAGACUUCGGGGAGCUUCAUAAGGCAUUUGCCUCCAUUCGUCUACACACACAAAAAUAUCCGUUCCAAAAGAAACCAGAAGGUCUGGCAGCUCUCUACAUAUGGGACCAUCUCUUUUUUUGUGUGCCUUGGGAAGGACAGCUCGCUUCUAAGUGGCAGGCACUACUGGUAAGCAAUAAAGAUCAUUUCUAUCUGAUGGGCUCUGUGCUGAGAGCUCGGAGCCUGGAGCCUGCUUCGGAUUCUGUGUCUCCCUCUCUCUCUGCCCCUCCCCCUUUCACGCUCUGUCUCUCUCAAAAAGAAAUAAACUUUCCAAAAAUGUUUUUUUCGAUAAAAAUAUUUUUUUUUUUAAAAGAUCGUUUCUGUCCGAGCCAACGAAAUCUCUAGCUGAGUGAUAAAAGUCACAUCACCAGACUAUGGGAUUUUCCCUUUUCUCUAUUUUCACAUUCUUGACUGUGCAACGAUGGCCUUGAGGUGAACCAUCCAGAGGCUACAGGAGCAAACAAACCCUUAUUUGCUCUGACAAUGACCUCAGCUUCAGGAAAAACCCAGGUCUGAGGUAUACACACUCAUCUCAUACAGCCGUCGUCCCUUGAACAACUUUCAGAAGAGGCACAUUCUGUCUAGAGUGGUGCAGUCUUCUCUAGACCCUACUAAUCACACGCAGUGUUUCAGUCUGGCCCCUGUAGUCUCAUCACAAGUGACACCAGCAAACCAAAUUCUGGACAUUAGGGUACACGGUUCCUUUGCAGUACUUGGGGAACGCCCUCCCCUCAGUAGUGCUGGGCAUUAUGUGACAUGCCCUGGGUACAAUGGAACCAAUUUUUCUUUUUCCCCAAAGUCCUGAAGCUUGUCACAACAAUUUCCCCUUCCCCAGGGUGACCUCUGGACCUAAAACAUAAACACACACACACACACACACACACACACACACACACACACACACACAAAACCCCUGAGAUCCAGGCCACAAAAUAGGACCACAAACUGUUGUAGCCGUUCCUAGGUGGCCUUUGUCCGCUCUGCAGAUUAAAUAAGAGCUGACAGAAAGAUGUUUUCACAAGUUUCCAGUCUUAUCCAGACUGGGUCUUCUCGGCCAAAACUGUGUGAAGACUAUGUCUUAACUAGUCAGAGAGGAGAGAAUGAGGCCCCCUA